UACGUAGGUGGCAAGCGUUGUCCGGAUUUACUGGGCGUAAAGGGCGUGCAGGCGGUCUGUUAAGUCUAGGGUGAAAGCUCCCGGCUCAACUGGGAGAGGUCCUUGGAUACUGGCGGACUUGAGGGAGGCAGAGGAAAGUGGAAUUCCCGGUGUAGUGGUGAUAUGCGUAGAUAUCGGGAGGAACACCAGUGGCGAAGGCGGCUCACUGGCCCGGUACUGACGCUGAGGUGCGAAAGCGUGGGGAGCAAACAGG
rnacentral:rRNA from 1 species